rnacentral:lncRNA from 1 species
AGCAUCAGUCGGCCGCAUCCUUGGUGGUGUCCCUGCAAUACCGACAAAGAUGUUAAAGACCGGACCAAAAGCCGAACAAAAAGAAAGGCCGGGGGAUCGGGCGAUACCUAUUCGGGGGACCAGACUCAAGCCAGCAUCAUAGAGAGCUUGUUCGGUAACAAGCUCCCUCUGCUUCGGGACCGACAUAUCUUUCAGUCGGUGGAAGUCCUCCCGGUCGUCCGCCUCCACCCGACUGUUGUCGUUGGCUUCAGUUCGGGGCACACCCCAGUGGGAAGGAAAGCCCC